AUGGGUGCUUUGGUCUAUGUCUGGUGGUUCAUCUAUGGAUUAUGUUACCUAUUUGUUGGAUUGGGUAUUAGGAACUGUGAUGUUAUUCGUGACAAGUUACUAAUCUUCAGUUCUUCCUCAUCGCGUAUCUGUUACCCCAACCUAGGAGCUAUAGAACUAAUGUGGCUUUUGUCCAUACUUUGCGUACAACAAAACUGUAAUACAACAUCAGUGGCAACAAAGCCUUCAUUCCCAAGCAUGUUUGUGCAGGCUAGAGAUGAAACACACAACAUGAGCCGCAGAAACCCAAGCAAAAAGUUAAUAAUUUUGGCCACAUGA
rnacentral:rRNA from 1 species